GGAAAACUUACCAGGUCCAGACAUAGUAAGGAUUGACAGAUUGAAGAUCUUUCUUGAUUCUAUGGAUAGUGGUGCAUGGCCGUUCUUAGUUGGUGGAGUGAUUUGUCUGGUUAAUUCCGUUAACGAACGAGACCUCAGCCUACUAAUUAGUUUAUUCAAUCUUUGAUUGGCCAAACUUCUUAGAGGGACUAUCGGUUCACCAGCCGAAGGAAGUAUGAGGCAAUAA
rnacentral:rRNA from 1 species